CGAGCACGCGCGUGUGGCAUAUCAAUAAGCGGAGGAAAAGAAACUAACAAGGAUUCCCUUAGUAACGGCGAGUGAAGCGGGAAGAGCUCAAAUUUGAAAUCUUCAAGGUUCUACCUUGACGAAUUGUAGUUUAUAGAAGUGUUUUCUGUUAGUAGAGUGGCAAAAGUUCUUUGGAAUAGGACAUCAUAGAGGGUGAGAAUCCCGUAUUUGGUCAUUCCUUCUAGCUUUGUGAUACACUUUCAAAGAGUCGGAUUGUUUGGGAAUGCAGUCCAAAAUGGGUGGUAAAUUUCAUCUAAAGCUAAAUAUUGGCGAGAGACCGAUAGCGAACAAGUACCGUGAGGGAAAGAUGAAAAGAACUUUGAAAAGAGAGUUAAACAGUACGUGAAAUUGUCAAAAGGGAAGCGUUUGACACCAGUGUUGUUUUUCCGAAAAUCAAUUACGAAUGUUUUGUUUUUAAGGAGUUAUGACUUCAUCGGCUUGCUUCUUUCUUUAUGAAACUUUCUUAAUGCACUUUUCGGUUAACAAGUCAACAUCAAUUUCUUUUGUUGUAAAAGGGUAUGAGGAAGGUGGCUUUCUUUUCGGAGAAAGUGUUUAUAGCCUUGUGCCUCUGCAAUCGGAGAGAUUGAGGUCUGCAGCGUAGAUCCUUCGGGGUUAGAUACGUUUGUGCUAAGUUAUAGCUUUUCAUAGACAACUUGUUGACUAUGUUUAGUCUUGUAGCUUACUCGCUGACGCUAUUUUACCUACGCUUAGGAUGUUGAUGUGAUACUGCGAGCA
rnacentral:rRNA from 1 species